rnacentral:rRNA from 1 species
UUAAGUUAAUAAGGGCGCACGGUGGAUGCCUUGGCACUAGGAGCCGACGAAGGACGUGACAAACGACGAUAUGCCUUGGGUAGCUGUAAGUAAGCGAUGAUCCAGGGAUUUCCGAAUGGGGGAACCCAACAGGUAGUACCUGUUACCCACAUCUGUUAAGGAUGUGAGGAGGAAGACGCAGUGAACUGAAACAUCUAAGUAGCUGCAGGAAGAGAAAGCAAAAGCGAUUGCCUUAGUAGCGGCGAGCGAAACGGCAGAAGGGCAAACCGAAGAGUUUACUCUUCGGGGUUGUAGGACUGCAAUGUGGACUCAAAGAUUAUAGAAGAAUGAUUUGGGAAGAUCAGCCAAAGAGAGUAAUAGCCUCGUAUUUUAAAUAGUCUUUGUACCUAGCAGUAUCCUGAGUACGGCGGGACACGUGAAAUCCCGUCGGAAUCUGGGAGGACCAUCUCCCAACCCUAAAUACUCCCUAGUGACCGAUAGUGAACCAGUACCGUGAGGGAAAGGUGAAAAGCACCCCGGGAGGGGAGUGAAAUAGAACCUGAAACCGUGUGCCUACAACAAGUUCGAGCCCGUUAAUGGGUGAGAGCGUGCCUUUUGUAGAAUGAACCGGCGAGUUACGUUAUGAUGCGAGGUUAAGUUGAAGAGACGGAGCCGUAGGGAAACCGAGUCUGAAUAGGGCGCCUUAGUAUCAUGACGUAGACCCGAAACCAUGUGACCUACCCAUGAGCAGGUUGAAGGUGCGGUAAGACGCACUGGAGGACCGAACCAGGGCACGUUGAAAAGUGCUUGGAUGACUUGUGGGUAGCGGAGAAAUUCCAAACGAACUUGGAGAUAGCUGGUUCUCUCCGAAAUAGCUUUAGGGCUAGCGUCGACAUUAGAGAUUCUUGGAGGUAGAGCACUGUUUGGGUGAGGGGUCCAUCCCGGAUUACCAAUCUCAGAUAAACUCCGAAUGCCAAAGAAUUAUGGUCGGCAGUCAGACUGCGAGUGCUAAGAUCCGUAGUCGAAAGGGAAACAGCCCAGACCACCAGCUAAGGUCCCAAAAUAAUUGUUAAGUGGAAAAGGAUGUGGGGUUGCACAGACAACUAGGAUGUUAGCUUAGAAGCAGCUAUUCAUUCAAAGAGUGCGUAAUAGCUCACUAGUCGAGUGACCCUGCGCCGAAAAUGUACCGGGGCUAAAACAAUUUACCGAAGCUGUGGAUACCUUUAUAGGUAUGGUAGGAGAGCGUUCUAUGUGUGAUGAAGGUAUACCGUGAGGAGUGCUGGAACGCAUAGAAGUGAGAAUGCCGGUAUGAGUAGCGAAAGACAGGUGAGAAUCCUGUCCACCGUAAGACUAAGGUUUCCAGGGGAAGGCUCGUCCGCCCUGGGUUAGUCGGGACCUAAGGAGAGACCGAAAGGUGUAUCCGAUGGACAACAGGUUGAUAUUCCUGUACUAGAGUAUGUAGUGAUGGAGGGACGCAGUAGGCUAACUAAAGCAGACGAUUGGAAGAGUCUGUCUAAGCAGUGAGGUGUGAAUUGAGUCAAAUGCUUAAUUCUAUAACAUUGAGCUGUGAUGGGGAGCGAAGUUUAGUAGCGAAGUUAGUGACGUCACACUGCCAAGAAAAGCUUCUAGCGUUUAAACAUACUCUACCCGUACCGCAAACCGACACAGGUAGUCGAGGCGAGUAGCCUCAGGUGAGCGAGAGAACUCUCGUUAAGGAACUCGGCAAAAUGACCCCGUAACUUCGGGAGAAGGGGUGCUGACUUAAAGUCAGCCGCAGUGAAUAGGCCCAAGCAACUGUUUAUCAAAAACACAGCUCUCUGCUAAAUCGUAAGAUGAUGUAUAGGGGGUGACGCCUGCCCGGUGCUGGAAGGUUAAGAGGAGUGCUUAGCGUAAGCGAAGGUAUGAAUUGAAGCCCCAGUAAACGGCGGCCGUAACUAUAACGGUCCUAAGGUAGCGAAAUUCCUUGUCGGGUAAGUUCCGACCCGCACGAAAGGCGUAAUGAUUUGGGCACUGUCUCAACGAGAGACUCGGUGAAAUUUUAGUACCUGUGAAGAUGCAGGUUACCCGCGACAGGACGGAAAGACCCCAUGGAGCNUUGAAAAAGUCCAUUUUUUCAAAGGUAAUCCUGUGUUAAUUUCAGAAAUUACAUCACUUUUUGUUCGUCAAAUGGCAGCUCUUUUUUAGGAUAUAAAACAGGGUUCGGAUAAGUUUUUUUGCAAGGUGGAUGAUGGCUACAUUGUAAUGUUUUCCUUGUUCUAACUUAGUCUUAAGAUAGGCCUUAAAAGCAGGUGAAAAGAGAGGGCAUGCUUUGGCAGCUUGUAUGAGUACCUACCGCAGAUGAGGGGAACCCCGUUUGACCAUUCUUCCUGCUAAAUCAAUCUGACCUGACUGAUAAAUAGAAGAAUCCAGUCCAGCGAAAGCUUGUAAUUGAGCAGGAUUAUCAAAGGCAUGAAUAUUUCGAAUCUCGGCUAAAAUGACCGCCCCUAAACGAUUCUCAAUCCCAGUAACCGUCGUGAUGACCGAGUUGAACUCAGCCAUCAAGUCAUUGACACAUUUUUUCGCCUUGUCAAUGAGCCUCUUGUAAUGUUUGAUGUUUUCAUUACAAGAGAUAAAACGUUUAUGCGUUAUCAAACUCAUUACCAAUUGAAACAAAAAGCUGUGGUUAGAUCCUUUCGGAAAUUGUCAAGCGAUUGGAGGAAAUGAACUAAUCCACAGCGGCUUAUUCCA